AUUGAACGCUGGCGGCAUGCUUUACACAUGCAAGUCGAACGGCAGCACGGGGGCAACCCUGGUGGCGAGUGGCGAACGGGUGAGUAAUGUAUCGGAACAUAUCCGGAAGUGGGGGAUAACGUAGCGAAAGUUACGCUAAUACCGCAUAUGCCCUGAGGGGGAAAGGGGGGGAUCGCAAGACCUCUCGCUUUCGGAGUGGCCGAUAUCGGAUUAGCUAGAUGGUGGGGUAAAGGCUUACCAUGGCGACGAUCCGUAGCUGGUCUGAGAGGACGACCAGCCACACUGGGACUGAGACACGGCCCAGACUCCUACGGGAGGCAGCAGUGGGGAAUUUUGGUCAAUGGACGGAAGUCUGAACCAGCCAUGCCGCGUGCAGGAUGAAGCAUCUAUGGUGUGUAAACUGCUUUUGUACGGGAAGAAAAAAAGCUACGUGUAGCUUACUGACGGUACCUUGCGAGAAAGCCACGGCUAACUACGUGCCAGCCGCCGCCGUAAGAC
rnacentral:rRNA from 1 species